AAGUCGUAACAAGGUUUCCGUAGGUGAACCUGCGGAAGGAUCAUUACAUUCAGUAGCCUAGCUACUUGUUUAUACCCUUGUUUUUUGCGUACCUAUUGUUUCCUCGGCGGGCUUGCUCGCCGGUUGGACAAAACCUAUAACCUUUUUUAAAUCUUCAAUCAGCGUCUGAAUGAAAUAUAAUAAUUACAACUUUCAACAACGGAUCUCUUGGUUCUG
rnacentral:misc_RNA from 1 species